AGAAGGAACGGAAGAAGUGGCUUCCCUGCUGCUCGCCUGUGCCCAGAGCCCGGGGCCAAGGGGCCUGUGGAAGCAGGCGUGAGCACUGAAGGCCUGCCUUUGACCCGGAGGUCCCGUCCUGGCUGUACCACCCAGGGGCAACGGGGCUGUACUUCACCAGGCAGGCGAACCCGUGGCUCCGCAUUACGUCAGGGAAGUACCUGGCUAUCUAUCGCUUGCAUGCCCUUCUCUGAGAGCUGCCCAGUCCCCUAGAAGCAGCGCCUUCUGCUGAGAUCUCUGCUUGGCCUUCGGCUGGUCGGCAGAGAGCCGUGGCACAGCCCUUGCGUGACCUGAGGUGGACUGCAUCCACCUGCCUAGUCCACUGACUCGUGCUCUGUGUGGUCGAGAUCCAGGGGAAUAAAGCGUGGCUGCUCCGGGUGCUCAGCCGAAAAGGAAUAUUGUAAAGGCGGGAAGGUGUAGAAAAGAGCCGCGAACACGAUCAAGGGGUUGGAUGAAUCUCUUACAAGGCACGGCUAAAACGUUUGUUGAGUACUGUCAGGAGGAGACUUGGGCAUGUGAACAAAUAAUGUUCGAUGGAUGUACUGCUACCUCGCUGGCAACCAUUAAACCUUCAGUAAACACAACCAGGUACCUUUUAUCCUAUGUGGUGGACCUGUAGUAAG